UACGUAGGGGGCAAGCGUUGUCCGGAAUCAUUGGGCGUAAAGCGCGUGUAGGCGGCUUGGUAAGUCCGCUCUGAAAGCCCAGGGCUCAACCCUGGGAGGCGGGUGGAUACUACAGAACUGGAGUACGGAAGAGGAGAUUGGAAUUCCUGGUGUAGCGGUGAAAUGCGCAGAUAUCAGGAGGAACACCAAUUGCGAAGGCAGCUCGUUACACGAAGAUUGACUCUGAGGCACGAAAGCGUGGGGAUCAAACAGG
rnacentral:rRNA from 1 species